rnacentral:rRNA from 1 species
UACGUAGGGGGCAAGCGUUGUCCGGAUUUAUUGGGCGUAAAGAGCGUGUAGGCGGCCAUGUAGGUCCGUUGUGAAAACUCGAGGCUCAACCUCGAGACGCCGAUGGAAACCAUGUGGCUAGAGUCCGGAAGAGGAGAGUGGAAUUCCUGGUGUAGCGGUGAAAUGCGCAGAUAUCAGGAGGAACACCGGCGGUGUAGACGGCUUUCUGGACCGUAGCUGACGCUGAGACACGAAAGCGUGGGUAGCAAACAGG